UACGUAGGGGGCAAGCGUUGUCCGGAAUCAUUGGGCGUAAAGCGCGUGUAGGCGGCCCGGUAAGUCCGCUGUGAAAGUCCAGGGCUCAACCCUGGGAUGCCAGUGGAUACUGUCGGGCUAGAGUCCGGAAGAGGCGAGUGGAAUUCCUGGUGUAGCGGUGAAAUGCGCAGAUAUCAGGAGGAACACCAAUGGCGAAGGCAGCUCGCUGGGACGGUACUGACGCUGAGACGCGAAAGCGUGGGGAGCAAACAGGAUUAGAAACCCCAGUAGUCC
rnacentral:rRNA from 1 species